GUGGUGUAGUUGGGCUGCUUUUCCCCUCCUGAUUGUUAUUCCCCCUUGUGGUGAAUCUUAUAGUUGCACAUUCACUGUCCUUUUGUUUCUUGCCUCUGACUGGGGCAAGUGGCCUGGGCAGAGGCUGUCAUAUCUACUGUGAUUUGAUUAGGAGGGUUGUGAAUGAAUCUUGUUACCCCAGUGAAAUCUGUUUCUUUCCUUUCUGUUUUGAAAGACUUAGCUUCCCAUGUUAGGUCCAGGUCACUGAGUGGCUUGUGGUGUACUCCCCAUCUGAGCAGAUUUUCCAUUACCAAUUGUUGUGGGCCUGGGGAUGGAGACUGGCUCAUGAGCUGGUCACCAGUAGAUAAUCUCUUGUGUGCUAAUGCUUUCCUCCUUGCAAUUCUCUUGGAGGAUUCGCAGGAGCCUGAGCAGCUGCGCAAACUGUUCAUUGGUGGCUUGAGCUUCGAAACGACAGAUGACAGCCUGCGGAACCACUUUGAGCAAUGGGGCCGGCUGACAGAUUGUGUGGUGAUGAGAGACCCAAAUACAAAACGCUCCAGGGGCUUUGGCUUUGUGACUUAUUCCUGCGUCUCAGAGGUGGACAGUGCCAUGGCUGCCCGGCCUCACAAGGUCGACGGUCGUGUUGUGGAGCCCAAACGUGCUGUGUCAAGAGAGGACUCCACCAGGCCUGGAGCACACUUGACGGUGAAGAAGAUCUUUGUUGGUGGCAUCAAGGAAGAUACAGAGGAACAUCACCUACGGGACUACUUUGAGAAAUUUGGCAAGAUUGAGGUGACUGAAGUAAUGACAGACCGUCAAAGCGGGAAAAAGAGGGGAUUUGCCUUCAUAACGUUCGAUGACCACGAUGCUGUCGACAAGAUUGUUGUUCAGAAGUACCAUACAGUGAAUGGACACAACUGUGAAGUCAGGAAGGCCCUUUCCCGUGAAGAGAUGCAGAAUUCUGGCAUGAACCAGCGAGGACGAGGAAGCUCUGGCAACUUUGGCCGAGGCAACUUUGGCAACUCCGGUAACUUUGGCCGUGGUGGUGGAGGAGGAGGUGGCAACUUCGGAAACAGAGGUGGAUUUGGUGGCUCCAGAGGAGGUGGUGGCAACUAUGGCGGCUGUGGUGAUGGCUACAAUGGUUUUGGCGAUGGUGGUGGAUAUGGGGGCGGCAGCGGCUAUGGUGGUGGAGGCCGUGGUGGUCCUGGCUAUGGUGGCAGCCCGACAUAUGGCAACCAGGGUGGUGGCGGAUUCAGCGGAGGAGGUGGUGGCGGCAGUGGAUAUGAUGGCUAUGGUGGUGGAUUUGGUGGCAACUUUGGAGGAGGUGGUGGAGGCGGCGGUGGAAAUUACAAUGAUUUUGGCAACUAUCCAAACCAGCAGUCGUCUAACUAUGGGCCAAUGAAGGGUGGUGGAGGAGGUGGUUAUGGUGGGAGAAACUCUGGACCUUAUGGAGGUAAUUAUGGAUCUGGAGGAGGUGGUGGUGGAUCCUUCAGUCGGCGGUUCUAAAGCCAGGUGGGCUAUGAAUGAUUGAUUGAAAGGGGGCGGACACCUGCCUGGACUGCAGUACCUUUCUUGGUGUUUUCCGGCAAUUUUCCCAAAGGUGGAGCACCCUGGAAGAUGUACGUUAAUCCAUAACGGGCCUUGCUCAACUCUGAACAGGAGUGUUCUCGACUUGUACCUGUUGAAUACUGUGUAUUUCCUCGUAGCUGUUGUGCAGCUUUUUUGAAUAAAGCCACUUUUGACAA